rnacentral:rRNA from 1 species
CCUACGGGAGGCAGCAGUGAGGAAUAUUGGUCAAUGGACGAGAGUCUGAACCAGCCAAGUAGCGUGAAGGAUGACUGCCCUAUGGGUUGUAAACUUCUUUUAUAUGGGAAUAAAAUGUUCCACGUGUGGGAUUUUGUAUGUACCAUAUGAAUAAGGAUCGGCUAACUCCGUGCCAGCAGCCGCGGUAAUACGGAGGAUCCGAGCGUUAUCCGGAUUUAUUGGGUUUAAAGGGAGCGUAGGUGGAUUGUUAAGUCAGUUGUGAAAGUUUGUGGCUCAACCGUAAAAUUGCAGUUGAAACUGGCAGUCUUGAGUACAGUAGAGGUGGGCGGAAUGCGUGGUGUAGCGGUGAAAUGCUUAGAUAUCACGAAGAACUCCGAUUGCGAAGGCAGUUCACUGGACUGCAACUGACACUGAGGCUCGAAAGUGUGGGUAUCAAACAGGAUUAGAUACCCCAGUAGUC